GAGAGAGUCAGAAAAGCUUGAUGUCAAAUUAAAAUGUUUUAUUGGAAUCAGGGCAAAAUGGAUUUAAACUAGUCUGAUUUAUUCACUCCCUAAAUUCUCAAUUUGCUGAAUGAGAAGAUCCAAUUCUGAUGGUGAUGAAGCUAAAGUCUGAAGUUGUUGCAUUCCAAUAAAAAAAUAGUUAUUUUCAACUAAUUGACUUUGGUGAUCAGAUUCUAAGGCUUCUUCAAGAAUUGGUUCGAUGACUAUGAUACAUUUUCCCUUCUGAUUUAACCGAGAUAGGAACCAACUGAUUCCCUCUACAGCCACAUUCAUCCAUUGAUGCUCAUCAGUGUAAUCAUCAAUCUACAAAAAAUAAGCUUUUACAAGAAAUAUUGCAGCUAUCGCACAAAUAAUAAGGAAAAUAGACAUCGCUCCGAAAACAAUAACUGUGGGAUCGUUUCUACCGAUGGGAACUUAAUCAUAUUUAUUAAGUAAUUUGAAUUAUAAACUAAAGAUUUACUGCGGUUCCUUACAGAUGAUUCGUGUGCUGUUACUUGAUCUGGUACACGGAAGGUACGUCACAGAAAAAGGAUGAAUACAUCUUGGAUCGACUGGGGUAACCUGGUGUAUGAGGAAACUUGAGUCAAACUGGCUUGCCUGUGGCAAUGUUGUUAAACUCUCACAGAUAGAAAAACUUUGUCUAGUAAAGCUGGUCCAUUGACAUUCCGUUUUAAACCCUACUGUUUGGUAAAGGAGGAAAGUAUAUAACGAGGAUGCUUGUUCGCAUGCCCUCUCUAUUUUUAAUGUGUGGCCGUUAUAUUCAGCGAUUGCGUUACAAUUCGGUAAUUCCCAGAAUACCUGUGUGCCUCCUGCCAACUAAACAACAAAUAAGAAGGAACAGAAUAUCAGUAAACGCAUUUUUUUUACAAAUUAUUGUGUUGCGACGACCUUGAUUACGCAGACAAACGCAAGAAUAGAAAGAAUGACCAUUUCAUGGUUUCACCUCAAUAUACGAAACUGAUUUUUAUUUUCCACCAUUUAAAUCUGUACUCACAGGUAACACGAAUACUAUACACACUAACAGGCUUUAGCAAUUUACUUCACUCUUCACAGAUAACGCAAUCACUUCACCAAAAGCGAGAUAAGAUAUGAAAUGAGGCGUUUAACCUUGCAUACAAUGCAUACGUAUAUCUGCCGUGAACAGGAAAAUUUUUACUUCAUUUCGAAAUGGAUUGUUAUUUUAGUGGAAAGGCUAAACUGUCCUUCAGUGAUCACAUAUUUCAAUCCUUGAUUUUGUUCGCUAUGAAAAUAUUGAUGUCACAAUAGCAGUAGGGAGCAGUAGCAAUGGGAUUUUGUUUUAAGCAUAUCCAGAGUUUAUUUUCAAUAAGGCAUAACUAAUACAAUAAUCAUAAGUUCGAAACAUAAUGUAAUGCACUGAUGCGAUUAACAUUUUAUCCAACAUUGUUUCUCUGUUCUUGAUAAUAUCUUUUUAAGUGGAAUUUUUCAAAUAGAAUCGCGGAUCCAACGGAAUACAACAUACGAGCGACACAUAAGAAAUCAUAUAAUUGCAGGUAUAAUGGGAAAAUGGAUUUUAAAAAAGUAAUGGUUUCUCGGUAAUGGAAUUUUUUUGGGUUGCCCCUCCUACUUUUGGCCAGUUAUCCCAAUUGAGUUUUCUGCAGUUAAUUAUUGCGUUGCAUAUUUGUAAACUAAGAGGAUCUAUCUAUGCUCUUAAGUUUAAAUUGGUGCUCUCCUACUUUCUCAUAUCUAUAAGCAGAGGGACUGUUUGGAAAUAUUUUUGAGUAAGGUCUUCUUUCUAUGUAAACAGUUUUGUCUCUUUCACUAAAUCUUACCCUUUUCUUCCCGUAAGAACCAUCACGUGAGCGACCAAGAUUUAAGAUCGAAUUUAAGGCUCGGUUGGCUGUAGCACUGGCUGUAGGUUGUCGUGUAUGUUGUUUCUCAGUUCCUUUCUCGGUACCUGUAAACGCGAAAAUUUGAUUGACCGCUAUUUUUUAUCGUAAAUGAGAUAGUCUUAAAUUACCUCUAGCUACUCGAUUAACCACUGGCUUGAAGGAAGGAGUAAUGUCGUUUGAUGCACUUGCAGAAUUUGUGAGUAGUUCGGCGUCUUCAGACGGAUGUUUUCCUUUAGACGAAUCAGCCUUCGACCCAGAAUCUAUGGUUUUCGUCGCUUUGCGAGGAAUAACAUAAUUUGAGGACCAUGCUGCGUUGGGGGUUUCUUUCUUUUCUUUAAUGGAUUGGUUUUUGCUUUUCAUCAAAUCAGCAGCCAACUUGUCAUUACGAGAUGUGGCGGUUGAUUUUGCCUAAAUAAUGACAUCACGAUUAAAAAAUACCGAACGAGAUGUUUUAUUUAAUUUUUUUUUAAUUUGUAUACCUUUACUGGACGCGGUUGUGGAAUCAAUGGUUUGUAAGUUGGAAUUGGUUCAUGCAAUUUUUUCCCCAUUGUAGUAACAGGCUGAAAGUUAACACCGGAUGUGGUGGAAGAUCCAUUUUUUUGGUGCGCCAGUCUAACAGAAUUGUUAUAACUUGUUAGAUCCUGAUCUUCUUCAAUUUUAUGUCUCAGCGUUGACGGCUUUUUCUUUUUGAAGUUGGUAGAUUCGUUUUGGCGAAAUUUUUUCCCUCGUCUGCUAACAAAAGGCCGAGGUCUUGUUGGUUUAGUUGAUUUUUCUUUUGAUUUGAACCUACCAGAAGCAAGAAGAUUUUUUAAUUUUUCUUCCUUUGUUUCAAUUGAUUCGGAUAAUUCUUUUUCUUCUUCUUGGCUUGCGACAGCAGGUGGUGUGAUGUUGGAGUGUAGCGAUAUCGAUGGCAUAUCACAAUCUGUAGAGCUGGCACUUGAUUCAGUAUCUGAUGGGGAAUCAGGUUCAAAUGGCACCAAAACUGGUGGUAUCGGUUCUGAAUCUUCCUCGUCGGAACUAAGAGUUAUUUCUUCAAUUUUUGUUUGUAGAUAUUGCGUCAAGCAUGUUAUAUUUUCUUCGUCUUUCGAUGAAGUUGUUCGCCGUAUGACACGUAAUCCUUCUGGAGUGUUUAGCGACUUCUCCGUUACAAAUUCUGAAGACAUUUUCGAUGGCUCUAAACGUAAAUCGUUUAGAGCGAUCCUCUUUUUGUCUUUGUGGGUUAUUGCUUCAUCUUCAGAAUCAGACAACCGAAGGAGUCGUUUAGUACCUUUAAUUGGCACUUUUUCCUUGGUUUUUUUCAAGUUUACCAUUUUUGACUCCAUUUCUUCUUCAGAAUCCGAAAAGAUGGUAAAAACGCGCGGUUUUUUCGUUGAACGAUAUGUAUAUGAUUUUUCGAAAUCGAUGGGAAGGCGAAGGCGCUCUAUCAUAACUUUACAUACCGCAUUCAGUUUAGGAUCUGCGUAUUUUUUUGAAGCUGCGUUUGUUCCAGAAAUGUUUGUGAGUUCAGCAGUCGAGUUGCUCAUCGAAGAAAAGCAAGAAUUUAUGAAACAGUCUCCGUCCAUUCCUGAAAUUACAGAUAAAUGUUGAAUGUUAAAAAAAACAGUAUAUUAUUUAACCGAUAGACUUAAAUAAGUAUCACUAGAUGUCACUUUUCAUUAAGAGAUAUAAAAAAUUUUUAAAUUAUAGAAAUUUAUCUUAUCAGAAUUUGAUUUAGUUUCAACUCUAAUUAAAUAAUUGUAAGUUAAUUCAUGUUCAUAAACUCCAAUUUGAGGAUAACAUUCAUCAUUUUAAAUGAUAGUAAUUGUUAACAUAAAUAAAUCAUUUACUUAAUUCCACCGCUAGAUGCCGCUUCAACAGCUGUCAUUGUUUAAAGGAGCGCCAGAUGGCGUGGCGUGUACGGAAUGGAGUUUCAAAAUUAGUUUGGUAAACAGUUGUU
rnacentral:misc_RNA from 1 species